rnacentral:rRNA from 1 species
UUCCGGUUGAUCCUGCCGGACCUGACUGCUAUCGGAUUGAUACUAAGCCAUGCGAGUCUUUGUAGUAAUACAAGGCAUACGGCUCAGUAACACGUAGUCAACCUACCUUAUGGACGAGGAUAAUCUCGGGAAACUGAGGAUAAUACUCGAUAGACCAUCAUUCCUGGAAUGGUUGGUGGUUGAAAUGAUUCGUCGCCAUAGGAUGGGACUGCGGCCUAUCAGCUUGUUGGCGAGGUAAUGGCUCACCAAGGCGAUUACAGGUACGGGCUCUGAGAGGAGAAGCCUGGAGAUGGGUACUGAGACACGGACCCAGGCCCUAUGGGGCGCAGCAGGCGAGAAAACUUUGCAAUGUGCGAAAGCACGACAAGGUUAAUCCGAGUGAUUUCUGCUAAAGAAAUCUUUUGCAAGUCAUAAAACCACUAGUGAAUAAGGGGUGGGCAAGUUCUGGUGUCAGCCGCCGCGGUAAAACCAGCACCUCAAGUGGUCAGGAGGAUUAUUGGGCCUAAAGCAUCCGUAGCCGGCUCUGUAAGUUUUCGGUUAAAUCCAUGUGCUCAACGCAUGGGCUGUCGAAAAUACUGCAUAGCUAGGGAGUGGGAGAGGUAGACGGUACUCGGUAGGAAGGGGUAAAAUCCUUUGAUCUAUUGAUGACCACCUGUGGCGAAGGCGGUCUACCAGAACACGUUCGACGGUGAGGGAUGAAAGCUGGGGGAGCAAACCGGAUUAGAUACCCGGGUAGUCCCAGCUGUAAACGAUGCAGACUCGAUGAUGCAUUGGCAUAUAGCCAGUGCAGUGUCGCAGGGAAGCCGUUAAGUCUGCCGCCUGGGAAGUACGUAC